rnacentral:rRNA from 1 species
AUUGAACGCUGGCGGCAGGCCUAACACAUGCAAGUCGAACGAGUGGCGGACGGGUGAGUAAUGUCUGGGAAACUGCCUGAUGGAGGGGGAUAACUACUGGAAACGGUAGCUAAUACCGCAUACUAUCGGAUGAACCCAUAUGGGAUUAGCUAGUAGGUGGGGUAAUGGCUCACGUAGGCGACGAUCCCUAGCUGGUCUGAGCGGAUGAUCAGCCACACUGGGACUGAGACACGGCCCAGACUCCUACGGGAGGCAGCAGUAGGGAAUUUUGGACAAUGGGGGAGACCCUGAUCCAGCCAUCCCGCGUGUAUGAUGAAGGCCUUCGGGUUGUAAAGUACUUUUGGCAGAGAAGCGGUAUCGGCAGAAUAAGCACCGGCUAACUACGUGCCAGCAGCCGCGGUAAUUC